GGCUCAGGUUGCUGACUGGGGAGGGGGCUGGCAAGUGGGUGGGACUGCCACGGGCCACUGAAUUCUCCCCCAGCCACCUGCCUGUGCCUGGUGUGUCCC